CCUACGGGAGGCAGCAGUGAGGAAUAUUGGUCAAUGGGCGCGAGCCUGAACCAGCCAAGUAGCGUGAAGGAUGACUGCCCUACGGGUUGUAAACAUCUUUUAUAAAGGAAUAAAGUGAGGCACGUGUGCCUUUUUGUAUGUACUUUAUGAAUAAGGAACGGCUAACUCCGUGCCAGGCGCCGCGGUAAUACGGAGGAUCCGAGCGUUACCCGGAUUUAUUGGGCUUAAGGGGAGCGUAGAUGGGUUGUUAAGUCAGUUGUGAAAGUUUGCGGCUCAACCGUAAAAUUGCAAUUGAUACUGGCAGGCUUGAGUCCAGUAGAGGUAGGUAGAAUUCCUGGUGUAGCGGUGAAAUGCUUAGAGAUCACGAAGAACACCGAUGGCGAAGGCAGCUUACUAAACGGCCACUGACAUUGAUGCUCGAAAGUGUGGGUAUCAAACAGGAUUAGAUACCCUUGUAGUC
rnacentral:rRNA from 1 species